UAUAGGUUGGUGUGAGCAGGUCAGUAACACGUCACAGUGGAUAGGGUGUUGGCCAUGAACUCCUGCAUCUCUUAAGUCAGAUCCUAAAGACUGAGCUGAUGCAACAGGCUCACAUUUUCAUCCAUCUUAGGUCAGACUGAACCCCAAACAACUGUGAAAAGCUCUCUGCAAUCAUCAUCAUUAUUAUCCCAAGUGAGAGAGGUUUGAAGAGGGGAUGUGAGUCAUUUCAGCAGCGCCAGGCUCUCUAAGGGUGAGAGGAGUCUUCCUACUGAGUUCCCUACUAGUAACACUAGCAGUCUCCUCUGUGCUCCAAACAUCUGAAGGGAAGCUGUGACUGAUCCUGUGAUCCUGACCUGUAGUCUUGGUAUUUAGGUAAGUCUUU